UACGUAGGCAGCAAGCGUUGUUCGGAAUUACUGGGCGUAAAGAGUGUGUAGGCGGUGCUCUAAGUUCGGUGUGAAAUCUCCCGGCUCAACUGGGAGGGUGCGCCGGAAACUGGGGUGCUGGAGCGCGGGAGAGGGAAGCGGAAUUCCUGGUGUAGCGGUGAAAUGCGUAGAUAUCAGGAGGAACACCGGCGGUGUAGACGGCUUUCUGGACCGUAGCUGACGCUGGAGACACGAAAGCGUGGGUAGCAAACAGG
rnacentral:rRNA from 1 species